rnacentral:rRNA from 1 species
UAGGGAAUCUUCCACAAUGGACGAAAGUCUGAUGGAGCAACGCCGCGUGAGUGAAGAAGGGUUUCGGCUCGUAAAACUCUGUUGUUAAAGAAGAACAUAUCUGAGAGUAACUGUUCAGGUAUUGACGGUAUUUAACCAGAAAGCCACGGCUAACUACGUGCCACCAG